AGUUUGAUCCUGGCUCAGGAUGAACGCUAGCUACAGGCCUAACACAUGCAAGUCGAGGGGAAACGACAUCGAAAGCUUGCUUUUGAUGGGCGUCGACCGGCGCACGGGUGAGUAACGCGUAUCCAACCUGCCCACCACUUGGGGAUAACCUUGCGAAAGUAAGACUAAUACCCAAUGAUAUCUCUAGAAGGCAUCAGAAAGAGAUUAAAGAUUUAUCGGUGAUGGAUGGGGAUGCGUCUGAUUAGCUUGUUGGCGGGGUAACGGCCCACCAAGGCGACGAUCAGUAGGGGUUCUGAGAGGAAGGUCCCCCACAUUGGAACUGAGACACGGUCCAAACUCCUACGGGAGGCAGCAGUGAGGAAUAUUGGUCAAUGGACGAGAGUCUGAACCAGCCAAGUAGCGUGCAGGAUGACGGCCCUAUGGGUUGUAAACUGCUUUUAUAAGGGAAUAAAGUGAGUCUCGUGAGACUUUUUGCAUGUACCUUAUGAAUAAGGACCGGCUAAUUCCGUGCCAGCAGCCGCGGUAAUACGGAAGGUCCGGGCGUUAUCCGGAUUUAUUGGGUUUAAAGGGAGCGUAGGCCGGAGAUUAAGCGUGUUGUGAAAUGUAGAUGCUCAACAUCUGCACUGCAGCGCGAACUGGUUUCCUUGAGUACGCACAAAGUGGGCGGAAUUCGUGGUGUAGCGGUGAAAUGCUUAGAUAUCACGAAGAACUCCGAUUGCGAAGGCAGCUCACUGGAGCGCAACUGACGCUGAAGCUCGAAAGUGCGGGUAUCGAACAGGAUUAGAUACCCUGGUAGUCCGCACGGUAAACGAUGGAUGCCCGCUGUUGGUCUGAAUAGGUCAGCGGCCAAGCGAAAGCAUUAAGCAUCCCACCUGGGGAGUACGCCGGCAACGGUGAAACUCAAAGGAAUUGACGG
rnacentral:rRNA from 1 species